rnacentral:rRNA from 1 species
GAUGAACGCUAGCGGCAGGCUUAAUACAUGCAAGUCGAGGGGCAGCGGGGUAGCAAUACCGCCGGCGACCGGCAAACGGGUGCGGAACACGUACAGAACCUUCCUUUAAGCGGGGAAUAGCCCGGAGAAAUCCGGAUUAAUACCCCAUAGUAUUGUUGGGUGGCAUCACCCGAUAAUUAAAGAUUUAUCACUUAAAGAUGGCUGUGCGGCUGAUUAGGUAGUUGGUAGGGGUAACGGCCCACCAAGCCAGCGAUCAGUAACUGGUGUGAGAGCACGACCAGUCACACGGGCACUGAGACACGGGCCCGACUCCUACGGGAGGCAGCAGUAAGGAAUAUUGGUCAAUGGACGCAAGUCUGAACCAGCCAUGCCGCGUGAAGGAUGAAGGCCCUCUGGGUUGU